GACGAACGCUGGCGGCGUGCUUAACACAUGCAAGUCGAACGGAAAGGCCCUGCUUUCGCUGGGUGCUCGUGUGGCGAACGGGAGAGUAACAUGAGCGUAACCUGCCUUUGUCUUUGGGAUAACUUCAGGAAACUGGGGCAAAUUCCGGAUAGGCGCCCCCGCUGCAUGGUGGGGGUUGGAAAGUUUCGCCGGUUGGGGAUGGACUCGCGGCUUAUCAGCUUGUUGGUGGGGUAGUGGCUUACCAAGGCUUUGACGGGUAGCCGGCCUGAGAGGGUGACCGGCCACAAUGGGACUGAGAUACGGCCCAGACUCCUACGGGAGGCAGCAGUGGGGAAUAUUGCACAAUGGGCGGAAGCCUGAUGCAGCAACGCCGCGUGCGGGAUGACGGCCUUCGGGUUGUAAACCGCUUUCGCCUGGGACGAAGCGUGAGUGACGGUAAUGGGAAAAGAAGCACCGGCUAACUACGUG
rnacentral:rRNA from 1 species